rnacentral:rRNA from 1 species
AAACUUAAAGGAAGUUGACGGGGCCGCACAAGCGGUGGAUUAUGUGGAUUAAUUCGAUGCAACGCGAAAACCUUACUACCCUUGACAUGCUAGGAACUUGCCAGAGAUGGCUUGGUGCCCGAAAGGGAACCUAGACACAGGUGCUGCAUGGCUGUCGUCAGCUCGUGUCGUGAGAUGUUGGGUUAAGUCCCGCAACGAGCGCAACCCUUGUCAUUAAUUGCCAUCAUUCAGUUGGGCACUUUAAUGAGACUGCCGGUGACAAACCGGAGGAAGGUGGGGAUGACGUCAAGUCCUCAUGGCCCUUAUGGGUAGGGCUUCACACGUAAUACAAUGGUCGGUACAGAGGGUUGCCAACCCGCGAGGGGGAGCCAAUCCCAGAAAACCGAUCGUAGUCCGGAUUGUAGUCUGCAACUCGACUGCAUGAAGUCGGAAUCGCUAGUAAUCGCGGAUCAGCAUGUCGCGGUGAAUACGUUCCCGGGCCUU